rnacentral:rRNA from 1 species
UACGUAGGGGGCGAGCGUUGUCCGGAAUUACUGGGCGUAAAGGGCGCGUAGGCGGCCCGUUAAGUCCGCUGUGAAAGACCGAGGCUCAACCUCGGGGUGUCAGCGGAGACUGGCAGGCUUUUGAGUCUCGGAGAGGGAUGCGGAAUUCCUGGUGUAGCGGUGGAAUGCGUAGAGAUCAGGAGGAACACCGAUGGCGAAGGCAGCAUCCUGGCCGAGGACUGACGCUGAGGCGCGAAAGCGUGGGGAGCGAACGGG